UUCUGGUAGUUUUCCUUCACAUACUCUAUGACUGCAUUAUUUUUGGCAGUCACUGACAAAAUAGAAGGAAGAUGUGAACUUCAGAGCUCUUAUCUGCAGAAAAACCCAUUCCGACUUAUUUAGUAUACAGUUAAAUAGUCACACUAGAAAAUGGUAUCAUCCAAAACAUAUCCUUUUAUGAAAUGAAUAGAAUGAAGUGAAAGAACAAACAAAUGAAACCAGGUAUAAACUUCUUCAUUAAGCUUGAGAUCCUGAACAGUGACUUUCAUCUUCCUUCCUUCCUAUAGACAGCACUCUCCAAUUAGAAGGCAAGACUUUUUCUCAUGGUUAGAUUUUUUUUAAAAGCUCGCAAGAUCUGAUAUUUGAUAUCUUUAUCUUAACCAUGACAUCCAUUGGUUUCUUAACUUUUCCUCGAGUAAAAAAGAAGAAAAAUAUAAAGAGUAUUUUCACUUCUCUCGUGGGACAAUAAAGUAAAUAUUUUUGCUUAUGCAUGCUCUGCUCACAAAUGGGAAUCCUGAGAGGUGACACCGUGGGAGUGGCGGCAUGAAUGUCAUCAUUUCUAUUUUUUAUGUUGUUCUAACAAAUGUAAGAAAAAUACUUAAAGAUCCUUCUGAGAGUUCUCUCCUUGUGAGCAGGAGAAAGACCUGGUCACUUAAGACAAGAUACUAUAUGAUCACAUUUGUCAUCUCUGAGCCAUAAUCAGAGCUAGGAAAAGUGGCUACUAGAUAGUGCAGCAUCCCACUUCUCCCUUCUACUCUUCCCGUGCUGUGCUUUUCCAACUCAAAGCUCACGUUGCCAAAGUCGACUGUCACUGCUCCAUUCUUUACAUGGCCAUUUAUCUGCAGGAGUUGCUGGGCUCUCGUGCUCAGGAUGGCGGAUAAAUGACCAUGAAUGGUUAGAAAACACUGCCUGCUUAAUGCAGGAGGAAAGAAGCUAUUGCACUGGAGGUGCAAAACCAAGAGUAAACUUAACAUACCAUUUACACAACGGUGCACCGAUUGCUUGUGCUACAGAGAACAUGAACCGAAACAUGGGAUGCAUUUGUUUCCUUCUUGCAAAUUUCUCUCGGAAGAUUGUCAAGCCCAGGUCUCAACGUGGGACCACUGUGAGACUUUGUAUCACCGAAUUUGCUGUUUGGAAUGUGGAAGAGUUCUAGCCAAGUGUGGUGGUGCACACUUAUAAUUCCAGUGUUUGUGUAAUAAAGGCAUGAAGACAGUCAUCAGUUUGAGGCACUGUAGGCCGUAUAAGUUCCAGGCAAGCCAAAGCCACGUAGCAAAAGAUUUUAAAUGAAACUAAAAAUAAAGAAUUCUAAUUCAGA